AAAAUAAGAACGGUGUGCAAUGGUUUUUGUUUGCAUCAGACAUAUUCAUUUACACCUCUAUAAAAAUAUAAUAAUUAUUUUUUGAAAGAAAAAUAUAAUUAUUUUGAAUUGUUCCUAUUUGAAUAGUCCUCUUUGUAACUUAUAAAUAUUGUGUUCAGAUUUUGAAUAAAUAAUAAAUUAUUUGGUUGAAAAUUUUAACAAUGCUCAUCAUUUUGCAUUUAUAACUCACCCAACUUGUUCAAAUUGUUGAUUGAAUUUACCAAAAGCUUAACUCACUCGUUUUGGAGAUGAGAACGGAUUGAAAAAUUCUCAAAUGUACCAAAAAUGUUUUAGUUUGCAUUCUCAAUAUGAUAAAUCUUUAUGAAAAAAAAAUAAUAGUUAAAUUUUACUAACCACCUUUAAAUUUUUAAAAAAAUAUAAAUUUUAUAAAUUUAUCAUAAUUACAUUAAAUUUUUUAAUAAAAUUAAAAUAAUCAAAACUCAUGUGUAGACAAAUGAUAACACAUGGAAAAAGAUUAUAUAUUUUCAUAUAAAAAAGAUGGUAAUAUUUAUUUUUCGUCUACAUAUUUGAGGUUUAGUGGCGUUUAUUAUGCCGCGUCUAACAAAACAGCGGCGUUUUAGUGAAACGUCACAACAGUCUACUUUUUCGCACCGUUUAUGCGCCUAUCGACGCUGGCAUCAUCAGAGUUCACCCCUGGUUUCUAUCCUAAUCUGCCCAAGCCACCACCAUCGAAGCCUAUGAAGUCAUUUCUCUCCCACUCUCUAUCAAUUUUUCUUUCGAUUUCAUAUUCAUCUCCAGAUUUGACUUUCGAAUAUUUGAUUUCCUGUUUUUCUUCGAUUUUAUAACUUUGAUUUCCAAAUAUGAUUUCGAGAUCUGAUUUCGAAUCUUUGAUUGUUUUUCUUUCGAUUUCUUGUCUUUGAUUUCUUUUGGUUUAAUAUUCAUUGAGACGAUGAUGAUGGAAAUAAAGAAGAACGAGAUCUAUAAGCAGCUUUGUUGGACGAUGAAAGGAUAAAAAAUGUGUGAAUCAAAGAACGUCUUCAAGAUUCAGACCAGUCUGAAGAUCUGGAGAUUCUCUGGUUGAAUUGUUCCAGUCUGAAAGAAGAUGCGUACAAUUCCAGGGUUGGCGACUGGGGAGACACGCUCUAGCAUACUGUAGCCCAGAACUCU